rnacentral:rRNA from 1 species
UACGAAGGUGUCAAACGUUGUCCGGAAUAACUGGGCGUAAAGGGCGCGUAGGCGGUCGCGUAAGUCAGAUGUGAAAGCUCUGGGCUCAACCCAGGAAUUGCAUUUGAUACUGCGUGACUCGAGUUCGGUAGAGGAGGGCGGAAUUCCAGGUGUAGCAGUGAAAUGCGUAGAUAUCUGGAGGAACACCCGUGGCGAAGGCAGCUCUCUGGGGCGGCCCUGACGCUGAGGCGCGAAAGCGUGGGGAGCGAACGGGAUUAGAUACCCUAGUAGU